AAUAAAGUGCCUGAUAAAAAGGAUUAUUUUGAUAGAAUAAAUCAUGUAAUUAUUUACCUUUAUUA
rnacentral:tRNA from 2 species